AGCCUGAACCAGCCAAGUAGCGUGCAGGAAGACGGCCCUAUGGGUUGUAAACUGCUUUUGUAUGGGGAUAAAGUCAAUCACGUGUGAUUGUUUGCAGGUACCAUACGAAUAAGGACCGGCUAAUUCCGUGCCAGCAGCCGCGGUAAUACGGAAGGUCCAGGCGUUAUCCGGAUUUAUUGGGUUUAAAGGGAGCGUAGGCCGGAGAUUAAGUGUGUUGUGAAAUGUAGACGCUCAACGUCUGACUUGCAGCGCAUACUGGUUUCCUUGAGUACGCACAACGUUGGCGGAAUUCGUCGUGUAGCGGUGAAAUGCUUAGAUAUGACGAAGAACUCCGAUUGCGAAGGCAGCUGACGGGAGCGCAACUGACGCUUAAGCUCGAAGGUGCGGGUAUCGAACAGGAUUAGAUACCCUGGUAGUCCGCACAGUAAACGAUGGAUGCCCGCUGUUGGUACCUGGUAUCAGCGGCUAAGCGAAAGCAUUAAGCAUCCCACCUGGGGAGUACGCCGGCAACGGUGAAACUCAAAGGAAUUGACGGGGGCCCGCACAAGCGGAGGAACAUGUGGUUUAAUUCGAUGAUACGCGAGGAACCUUACCCGGGCUUGAAUUGCAGAGGAAGGAUUUAGAGAUAAUGACGCCCUUCGGGGUCUCUGUGAAGGUGCUGCAUGGUUGUCGUCAGCUCGUGCCGUGAGGUGUCGGCUUAAGUGCCAUAACGAGCGCAACCCCUCUCUUCAGUUGCCAUCAGGUAAUGCUGGGCACUCUGGAGACACUGCCACCGUAAGGUGUGAGGAAGGUGGGGAUGACGUCAAAUCAGCACGGCCCUUACGUCCGGGGCUACACACGUGUUACAAUGGGGGGUACAGCGAGUUGGAUGCCCGCAAGGUCAUUCUAAUCAAUAAAGCCUCCCUCAGUUCGGACUGGGGUCUGCAACCCGACCCCACGAAGCUGGAUUCGCUAGUAAUCGCGCAUCAGCCAUGGCGCGGUGAAUACGUUCCCGGGCCUUGUACACACCGCCCGUCAAGCCAUG
rnacentral:rRNA from 1 species